rnacentral:rRNA from 1 species
GACGAUGACCCCGCUUGCGGGGGGAUUAGUGGCGAACGGGUGAGUAACACGUGAGUAACCUGCCCUUAACUCUGGGAUAAGCCUUGGAAACGGGGUCUAAUACUGGAUAUUGACUUUUCCUCGCAUGGGGAUUGGUUGAAAGAUUUAUUGGUUUUGGAUGGACUCGCGGCCUAUCAGCUUGUUGGUGAGGUAAUGGCUCACCAAGGCGACGACGGGUAGCCGGCCUGAGAGGGUGACCGGCCACACUGGGACUGAGACACGGCCCAGACUCCUACGGGAGGCAGCAGUGGGGAAUAUUGCACAAUGGGCGAAAGCCUGAUGCAGCGACGCCGCGUGAGGGAUGACGGCCUUCGGGUUGUAAACCUCUUUCAGUAGGGAACAAGGCCAGUGUUUAGCUGGUUGAGGGUACUUGCAGAAGAAGCGCCGGCUAACUACGUGCCAGCAGCCGCGGUAAUACGUAGGGCGCAAGCGUUAUCCGGAAUUAUUGGGCGUAAAGAGCUCGUAGGCGGUUUGUCGCGUCUGCCGUGAAAGUCCGGGGCUCAACCCCGGAUCUGCGGUGGGUACGGGCAGACUAGAGUGAUGUAGGGGAGACUGGAAUUCCUGGUGUAGCGGUGAAAUGCGCAGAUAUCAGGAGGAACACCGAUGGCGAAGGCAGGUCUCUGGGCAUUAACUGACGCUGAGGAGCGAAAGCAUGGGGAGCGAACAGGAUUAGAUACCCUGGUAGUCCAUGCCGUAAACGUUGGGCACUAGGUGUGGGGGACAUUCCACGUUUUCCGCGCCGUAGCUAACGCAUUAAGUGCCCCGCCUGGGGAGUACGGCCGCAAGGCUAAAACUCAAAGGAAUUGACGGGGGCCCGCACAAGCGGCGGAGCAUGCGGAUUAAUUCGAUGCAACGCGAAGAACCUUACCAAGGCUUGACAUGAACUGGAAACACCUGGAAACAGGUGCCCCGCUUGCGGUCGGUUUACAGGUGGUGCAUGGUUGUCGUCAGCUCGUGUCGUGAGAUGUUGGGUUAAGUCCCGCAACGAGCGCAACCCUCGUUCUAUGUUGCCAGCACGUUAUGG